CCAAUCUCAUUGGACUAGCAGAGGAAACCACAGAAGGUCUCGUUAGGAAUGCUGCACUCAUUUUAUUGCCAGCACUAUUUAAAGAAAACGCCAGCUUCCUCUACUGUGUAGAUAGUGAACCCAAAGGUGCUACACCAACCAUAGUGUUUAACGGCUCUCCUGAUCCCCUCAAGGCUGAAAGCGUCAGCAUUAUAAUGGACAAUGUGAACAUCAUAAGAGAGGCAGACAUUGACAUGACACAGGCUGUGGAAUGCCUAUUUGCAGUCUAUUUUCUCUUCAAUGUGCAAUACCCGGUUGACAUUAAGCACACAAUGACUUUUAUUCAAAAAUAUAUGCUUAAACUUAGACAAGAGCACGGCAAAAGAACACCAAUACCUGUACUGAAAAUGUACAGUCAACUUGUGUAAAUUGUAGAGCUAUUUAAUAGUUGUUUUAAUUGUUCAUGUAUUGAUUUUUAUCUGCACUGUCAAAUAUCAAAAAUGAUUUAGUUUUUCCUCCUUUCAGAGAUAUAUGUAAAAGUGAAGUACUGUAUAUGUACAUAAACAAGCUUAUGUAUGUUUUUUG